CGCUCUACUAUUAGCGUGAGGUACUCACCGGUAACUGGCUCAGCCGCCUGGCUUGUAUGGAUAAGGGGCGGACGAGGCCGGGUGUUGGCACUGGGACGGUGUCGUGUGCACGUACGAAGAGCAGACAUGACGAGACGAGUGAACUGUGGCAAGAGGUUCAGGACGUGACUGGUGGUUUGUAAAAAGGGGCUAGACUCACUCCAAGACCGGCAAUGUGCACCUAAUAAGGAGUAGUCUAUUCAGAAAUGAGACAAGACUGCAAAGGGAGAAAGCCUAGUCCAUCACUUACCACAUCACAAAACGUGUUAAUGUUCCCGAAAGGAGGGGCACAAAUCUCGCCAUCAAUUAAUACCCUGGCACUAAUAAGCCCUACCAUGACUACCGGAAAGGAUGUUGAAUCUGGCUACUGCCAGCUGCUGGAGCUUCGGACACUGGAUGAGCUUUGACCUGCUUGGGGUGCGGCCCUUUCAUUUCGCCUUGUCUCGGCGAGUUUUGCUCCAGCAUAAUAGUGGUAAACGUGUUGACACAACUGAGUCGUUCUUGAUGUUGAUGACCGAUCAUGAUUUCCAUGUUCGAUGGGACCUGCCGCUAGCUAGAUAGCUUCACAUGAUAGUCGAAAAAGUCAAGAGUCAAUCAGCAUCAUAAUUUAGACAUUAGCCAUCAGCGAGGUUACGCCCUUUUGCCUGUGAUGAUAAUUCCC
rnacentral:sRNA from 1 species